rnacentral:rRNA from 1 species
GGAAUAUUCCACAAUGGGGGAAACCCUGAUGGAGCGACGCCGCGUGAGUGAAGAAGGGCUUCGGCUCGUAAAGCUCUUUUCUCAAGGACGAAUUAGCUUUCGGAGCAGUUGACGGUACUUGGGGAAUAAGCCACGGCUAACUACGUGCCAGCAGCCGCGGUAAUACGUAGGUGGCAAGCGUUAUCCGGAUUUAUUGGGCGUAAAGCGAGCGCAGGCGGUUUGAUAAGUCUGAUGUGAAAGCCUUUGGCUUAACCAAAGAAGUGCAUCGGAAACUGUCAGACUUGAGUGCAGAAGAGGACAGUGGAACUCCAUGUGUAGCGGUGAAAUGCGUAGAUAUAUGGAAGAACACCAGUGGCGAAGGCGGCUGUCUGGUCUGUAACUGACGCUGAGGCUCGAAAGCAUGGGUAGCGAACA